rnacentral:rRNA from 1 species
GAUGAACGCUGGCGGCGUGCCUAAUACAUGCAAGUCGAGCGAACGGACGAGAAGCUUGCUUCUCUGAUGUUAGCGGCGGACGGGUGAGUAACACGUGGAUAACCUACCUAUAAGACUGGGAUAACUUCGGGAAACCGGAGCUAAUACCGGAUAAUAUUUUGAACCGCAUGGUUCAAAAGUGAAAGACGGUCUUGCUGUCACUUAUAGAUGGAUCCGCGCUGCAUUAGCUAGUUGGUAAGGUAACGGCUUACCAAGGCAACGAUGCAUAGCCGACCUGAGAGGGUGAUCGGCCACACUGGAACUGAGACACGGUCCAGACUCCUACGGGAGGCAGCAGUAGGGAAUCUUCCGCAAUGGGCGAAAGCCUGACGGAGCAACGCCGCGUGAGUGAUGAGGGUCUUCGGAUCGUAAAACUCUGUUAUUAGGGAAGAACAUAUGUGUAAGUAACUGUGCACAUCUUGACGGUACCUAAUCAGAAAGCAACGGCUAACUACGUG